UACGUAGGGGGCAAGCGUUGUCCGGAUUUAUUGGGCGUAAAGAGCGUGUAGGCGGCCAGAUAGGUCCGUUGUGAAAACUCGAGGCUCAACCUCGAGACGCCGAUGGAAACCAUCUGGCUAGAGUCCGGAAGAGGAGAGUGGAAUUCCUGGUGUAGCGGUGAAAUGCGCAGAUAUCAGGAAGAACACCCGUGGCUAAGGCGGCUCUCUAGUACGGUACUGACGCUGAGACGCGAAAGCGUGGGAGCGAACAGG
rnacentral:rRNA from 1 species